rfam:Cricetulus griseus cell line CHO-K1, whole genome shotgun sequence.
CAAAAGGCUUUUUUCAAAGCCACUAAACCUUCAAGGUCUGUCCCCU